CACUAGAAAGCUAAAGAGGUUAGCGUUAGCCUUUUAAGCUAAAUAGUGGUGAUUCCCGACCACCUCUAGUGA
rnacentral:tRNA from 1 species